rnacentral:misc_RNA from 1 species
GAUGAAGAACGCAGCGAAAUGCGUUAAGUAAUGUGAAUUGCAGAAUUCAGUGAAUCAUCGAAUCUUUGAACGCACAUUGCGCCCCUCGGUAUUCCGAGGGGCAUGCCUGUUCGAGCGUCAUUAUAACCCUUCAAGCUCAGCUUGGUGUUGGGGCCUGCUGUAACUGGUAGCCCUUAAAAUCAGUGGCAGUGCUAUUAGGCUCUAAGCGUAGUAAUUCUUCUCGCUAUAGUGUGUAGUGAGCGCUUGCCAGAACCCCAAUCUUUUAUAUGAUUGACCUCGGAUCAGGUAGGGAUACCCGCUGAACUUAAGCAUAUCAAUAAGCGGAGGA